UAGAAGAUAGUAUAAUGAAGUACUUGAAAUUUUGAGUUUUGUUGUGUGGGUUCAAGUCCCAUUUUUCUAA
rnacentral:tRNA from 1 species